rnacentral:lncRNA from 1 species
CACCAGCUAAUCCUCCUCUAGUGCUUAUCUCUCAAGCACAGUUCUAAGUUUGUACAUAUAUUUGAAAUCUAUGACAAAUUCUGUAAGUUUGACACUGUUAUCAUCAUGCUCAUAUUCAGGUGGAAAGACUAAGGUGCAGAAGCUAAGCACCUGCCUGAGUUUCCUACAGGUAAGUGGAAAAGAGGGGGCCAACCCCAGAGCUUGAACCUUUCGCUGCUAUGCCACACUGGGUUUGAAGGGUAGUUUUCUUGAGAAUAGAGGGGACACAGUGAUUGGACAGUGAUGCUCUGCUGCCAUAGGCCAGGAAUUCUGUUUCAUUAUGACUCAGGCACAUCACCUUGUGGUUUCUUUAUACAGAGAUCAGCUUCCCUGAUGUAGUUGGAGAAGAAAUGGACAUAAGAGGAACAAGGUCCAGUGUGUCAUCCCACUUCUUACUCUGAUCAUUCUCAUGUUCAUCUCUAAGUUUCUUGAGGAUGCAGUCUGGUGAUCUUGUGUCUAGGUUGAAGACUCCCAGAACUGUCUUGAUUGCAGUGAGAGCUGAGGCCUGACGGGGUGAAAUAUCCAACUGUAGCAGUGGAGCAUACAUUGCAUGAAAAAAGUUUCAAAUACUUUUCAAAGCCGUGGACAACUUCAUAAAGUGGAUUUGUGCAGCAACCAGAACAGCCCUAUCUAUGUUCUCAAUGCUGAAAUCAUCCUGGGAAAUCUACCUGAAGAAGCUGGCAGGACACCUCAUCUGCAUUCUUAG